GGGCCGGUAGCUCAGGUGGUUAGAGCGCACGCCUGAUAAGCGUGAGGUCGGAGGUUCGAGUCCUCCUCGGCCCA
rfam:Alpha proteobacterium JLT2015 contig00037, whole genome shotgun sequence.